rnacentral:SRP_RNA from 1 species
GCCGGGCUUGGUGGCUCAUGCCUGUAAUCCCAGCAUUUUGGGAGGCCGAGGUGGGAGGAUCACCUGAGGUCAGGAGUUCAAGACCAGCCUGGCCAACAUGGUGGAACCCCAUCUCUA